rnacentral:rRNA from 1 species
GAUGAACGCUGGCGGCGUGCCUAAUACAUGCGAGUCGAGCGAACAGACGAGGAACUUGCUCCUCUGACGUUAGCGGCGGACGGGUGAGUAACACGUGGAUAACCUACCUAUAAGACUGGGAUAACUUCGGGAAACCGGAGCUAAUACCGGAUAAUAUAUUGAACCGCAUGGUUCAAUAGUGAAAGACGGUUUUGCUGUCACUUAUAGAUGGAUCCGCGCCGCAUUAGCUAGUUGGUAAGGUAACGGCUUACCAAGGCAACGAUGCGUAGCCGACCUGAGAGGGUGAUCGGCCACACUGGAACUGAGACACGGUCCAGACUCCUACGGGAGGCAGCAGUAGGGAAUCUUCCGCAAUGGGCGAAAGCCUGACGGAGCAACGCCGCGUGAGUGAUGAAGGUCUUCGGAUCGUAAAACUCUGUUAUUAGGGAAGAAUAAAUGUGUAAGUAACUAUGCACGUCUUGACGGUACCUAAUCAGAAAGCCACGGCUAACUACGUG